rnacentral:rRNA from 1 species
GAUGAACGCUGGCGGCGUGCCUAAUACAUGCCAGUCGAGCGAACAGACGAGGAGCUUGCUCCUCUGACGUUAGCGGCGGACGGGUGAGUAACACGUGGAUAACCUACCUAUAAGACUGGGAUAACUUCGGGAAACCGGAGCUAAUACCGGAUAAUAUAUUGAACCGCAUGGUUCAAUAGUGAAAGACGGUUUUGCUGUCACUUAUAGAUGGAUCCGCGCCGCAUUAGCUAGUUGGUAAGGUAACGGCUUACCAAGGCAACGAUGCGUAGCCGACCUGAGAGGGUGAUCGGCCACACUGGAACUGAGACACGGUCCAGACUCCUACGGGAGGCAGCAGUAGGGAAUCUUCCGCAAUGGGCGAAAGCCUGACGGAGCAACGCCGCGUGAGUGAUGAAGGUCUUCGGAUCGUAAAACUCUGUUAUUAGGGAAGAACAAAUGCGUAAGUAACUAUGCACGUCUUGACGGUACCUAAUCAGAAAGCCACGGCUAACUACGUG